rnacentral:lncRNA from 1 species
GAACAGAUAGAGCGACAAUAAGGGAAGAUACCACCAGCGCUGAUCUAAGCAUUACAAUGUUUGGGUAUGUCUGCUGAUUUGGAGGUAGCAAUUCCUCCAAACUCAGGGCGAGAGGAGUCAUGGUUAGUGCAUAUGUGGGUAUUAGUUAAGGACAGAACAUCUGAUCCAUGUCAAAACUAUUGACCAACAUAGGGUAAAAGUUAAGCUAAAUUUGUUCAUCAGAAGUGGAUUGGAUGUUUGAAGUUGAUACCACAUUGCUUUGGGAAGAGAAUUAUAGCAAGAUAUGACAUAACAUUAAUUGUAAAGUACGGUAAACGAAGGUGUAUGGGCAGCUGAAAUAAUAGGCCAAGGAUAUUUAGUUAUUGGAUUUGUCACCUGCAUGAAAACAAAAGGCACACAUUAUCAGAAGGAUAUAAUUUGCCGCAUAACAGCAUUUUAGUACUCAUAAUGUGACUGGGCUUGAUUAUGCUCUAUCAAAUGCAGUAUGUGAACUGCUAGAAGCCAAAUUCUGCCUUUUCAAAUCUAGUCUUCUGAA